CCCUUAGAUGUUCUGGGCCGCACGCGUGCUACACUGAGUGGAUCAGCGGGUCAGGUUGCGCGAAAGCGUUUCCUAAUCUUUAAAUCCGCUCGUGAUGGGGAUUGACGGUUGCAAUUUUCUGUCAUGAACGAGGAAUACCUUGUAAGCGCGGGUCAUCAUCCCGCGCUGAAUACGUCCCUGCCCUUUGUACACACCGCCCGUCGCACCUACCGAUUGAAUGUUUCGGUGAAGAUUCCGGAUAGGACUGAUUUGAUUUAUUUCAUUUCUGACCUAAAAGCUAUCUAAACCUCAACAUUUAGAGGAAGGUGAAGUCGUAACA
rnacentral:rRNA from 1 species